GAGCAGUCGACUAGAAGUAGAAGACUGAUGGCCUGAGAGAAAGCGGCCUCUCUCGGGAAACAUGGCCAAAUUUCUCUUCUUUCUUUUUGAUUUCGGGUUUCUUUAUUUUUUCAGGGGCCCAGAACGCUAAAGGGGAGAAGCAAACCGAACCUCUAAUCGACCUGGACACAUAAAAAAUUCUCGGCGUCGAGAGAGAUUUGAGAUUCCGUAAGUAACUCAGUGAGUGCUUUCUAAGAAGGGCUUGGUUUGGAAAAAGAAAAUGAAAUACGAACAACCGCGCUGGUUGUAAUAGAUCGACUUUCAUGCUAGUUCUUGCUCCAGUAUGAAAGUUCCAUUUCAGGGAAGGACGACGUACCAUGAUACUUUCUGUUUUGUCGAGCCUUGCUUUGGUCUCUGGUUUGAUGGUUGUACGUGCUAAAAAUCCGGUACAUUCCGUUUUGUUUUUCAUCCUAGUCUUUUGCGAUACUUCAGGUUUACUUCUUUUGUUAGGUCUCGACUUCUUCGCUAUGAUCUUCCUAGUAGUUUAUAUAGGAGCUAUAGCCGUUUUAUUCCUAUUCGUUGUUAUGAUGUUCCAUAUUCAAAUAGCGGAGAUUCACGAAGAAGUCUUGCGCUAUUUACCAGUGAGUGGUAUUAUUGGACUGAUCUUUUGGUGGGAAAUGUUCUUCAUUUUAGAUAAUGAAACCAUUCCAU
rnacentral:misc_RNA from 1 species